rnacentral:rRNA from 1 species
AGAGUUGAUUCUGGCUCAGGAUGAACGCUGGCGGCGCGCUUAACACAUGCAAGUCGAACGGUUAAAGCACCUCCGGGUGUGCAUAAAGUGGCGAACGGCUGAGUAACACGUGGGCAACCUGCCCCCCGCACCGGGAUAGCCUCGGGAAACCGUGGGUAAUACCGGAUACUCCGCCACCCCCGCAUGGGGGAGGCGGGAAAGCACUUACGGCGGGGGAUGGGCCCGCGGCCUGUUAGCUCGUUGGCGGGGUAACGGCCCACCAAGGCGAUUAUGGGUAGCCGGGUUGAGAGACCGACCGGCCAGAUUGGGACUGAGACACGGCCCAGACUCCUACGGGAGGCAGCAGUGGGGAAUCUUGCACAAUGGGCGAAAGCCUGAUGCAAGCGACGCCGCGUGCGGGACGAAGGCCUUCGGGUUGUAAACCGCUUCCAGCAGGGACGAGGCGCAAGUGACGGUACCUGCAGAAGAAGCCCCGGCUAACUACGUGCCAGCCGCAGC